rnacentral:sRNA from 1 species
ACAGACAGCUGACCAUGGAAGCGAAUGGGUUGGGCCUCCAGCGUAGCAUACUGACACCUACCCCCACCCCCACCUGAUCGCCAGACCUCAGGGUUUUCCGGAGCUGAAGAAUGACACAUUCCUGCGAGCAGCCUGGGGAGAGGAAACAGACUACACUCCCGUUUGGUGCAUGCGCCAGGCAGGCCGUUACUUACCAGAGUUUAGGGAAACCCGGGCUGCCCAGGACUUUUUCAGCACGUGUCGCUCUCCUGAGGCCUGCUGUGAACUGACUCUGCAGGUGAGGGGUCCACAAAAGAGGGAAAGAUUUAUGCCUUCAGUCUGCCACCUAGCAACCUGUCUCCUGUUUCCUACAGCCACUGCGUCGAUUCCCUCUGGAUGCUGCCAUCAUUUUCUCCGACAUCCUUGUUGUACCCCAGGCACUGGGCAUGGAGGUGACCAUGGUACCUGGCAAAGGACCCAGCUUCCCAGAGCCAUUAAGAGAAGAGCAGGACCUAGAACGCCUACGGGAUCCAGAAGUGGUAGCCUCUGAGCUAGGCUAUGUGUUCCAAGCCAUCACCCUUACCCGACAACGACUGGCUGGACGUGUGCCGCUGAUUGGCUUUGCUGGUGCCCCAUGGACCCUGAUGACAUACAUGGUUGAGGGUGGUGGCUCAAGCACCAUGGCUCAGGCCAAGCGCUGGCUCUAUCAGAGACCUCAGGCUAGUCACCAGCUGCUUCGCAUCCUCACCGAUGCUCUGGUCCCAUAUCUGGUAGGACAAGUGGCGGCUGGUGCCCAGGUGAGUCCUGAGAGAGAGAGAAAUAGGCUGGGAUUUGGUCUGUAAGGACCAGAAGCAAGAGUGUCCUAAACCUGAGAGGGCAGGGGUCUUAAUGCCAGGGAUGAAAGAACCUUGGCCUCCAGUGAUCUAGCUGAGCAGCCAAGCCCAUCCUGACACUGACAGUGGGGCUUAAUGCUCUAAGUAUUCAGACACCAAAGUUAGUGCUGGGAUCUGAGGAAAGUAAAUUUUUUUUUUUUAAUUACUGGGUUUAUAGGGUCAGGCAGUAUCAGGGAUUGAAGUCAUUUGGGGAAAAUUGAGGUGGAUUUUGUAUGUGGGGGAAACCUCCUCUUUGUGUGUUACAUAUUUUUCUUCACCAUACCCUAACUAGGCAUUGCAGCUGUUUGAGUCCCAUGCAGGGCAUCUUGGCCCACAGCUCUUCAACAAGUUUGCACUGCCUUACAUCCGUGAUGUGGCCAAGCAAGUGAAGGCCAGGUUGCGGGAGGCAGGCCUGGCACCAGUGCCCAUGGUGAGGAUUGGGAUGGGUUGAGCGAAGGUGGUCCUGUGGAGCUUUCAGGCUAAGUCCUGCAUGGACUGGAGUGACCACUGGAGGGCAGCAGAAGUACAGUCAAGAAAGAUUAGUGGUUGUAGCAAGGCCCUCUGUAGCCUGAGAUCUGCUUUUUUCUAGAUCAUCUUUGCUAAGGAUGGGCAUUUUGCCCUGGAGGAGCUGGCCCAAGCUGGCUAUGAGGUGGUUGGGCUUGACUGGACAGUGGCCCCAAAGAAAGCCCGGGAGUGUGUGGGGAAGACGGUGACAUUGCAGGGCAACCUGGACCCCUGUGCCUUGUAUGCAUCCGAGGAGGAGAUCGGGCAGUUGGUGAAGCAGAUGCUGGAUGACUUUGGACCACAUCGCUACAUUGCCAACCUGGGCCAUGGGCUUUAUCCUGACAUGGACCCAGAACAUGUGGGCGCCUUUGUGGAUGCUGUGCAUAAACACUCACGUCUGCUUCGACAGAACUGAGUGUAUACCUUUACCCUCAAGUACCACUAACACAGAUGAUUGAUCGUUUCCAGGACAAUAAAAGUUUCGGAGUUUAA